rnacentral:lncRNA from 1 species
AGCCACCCCGUCCGGGAAGGAGCAGGAACCGACAUCAGCACUGAGAAGCCGUUUAUUGAAGUAUGGGAAUGAGUGUGUUUUGAUCCUAACUGGAGAGUGUUUUGUCUGCCUUAGUGAAAGGAGAAGCUGAAGAACGCAGCAGCCAUCGUGCCUGCUAAUUUUGAUGUUAUGAUUUAAUACCAGGGGCUUUUCAUCAGGAGAACCAGAGGCAGGAGUGCCUGUAAUCUGAGGCAGCCAAUGAAAGUGUUAGAGAAGAAGACAAACAAGGGAAAAGAAGACAUAAACAAGAGACUGACUUUGUGAGGAUCAUCUGCGAUGGGUUGUGGAGAAGGAAUGAAUGAUGCAUAGAAAGAAAUGAUAGUACAUAAAUGGUUCGUUCCUUAGGAAACCGACCCUCAGGCAAGGGACUGAAACUCAUCAGAUCACUGCAUCUGGACAAUGAGAUGCCAGACCCCUCAUCCAUCAUCAUUGCUUUCUUUCCCCUCCUUAAUUCCUGUUUUCCCACCUUCCCUACUAUAUAAAACCCCCAGUUGGAGAGAUGGGUUUGAGACUUUAUCUGUCGUUCUCCUUGGUCACAGCACCCAAUUAAAGCCUUCUUCCCUGGUAAUACUCAUUGUUUCAGUGGUUGGCGUUCUGUGUGGCCAUCAGCAGGGCCUGGACUGAAUCCCUGGCAUUUCGG